CCUGAUCAGAGCAAGUAAAAAUUUCAGCGAAAAAGUUACACUGCUCAGUUUUAUGUUAUUGUUGUACACCAAUAAUACCACAUGCAGGUUAUACUGGAACCAGAUAUUCAUUACAACUGCAUUACCGAACUAUUACGGACGUAAAAAACUUAUAUCAUUGUCAACAAUUGCAAGCUUGUAAAAAAUGGUCAUCUUGUAACAACGAUCUUGUUCAGAGUUACUCAAUUUUAAACACAAAAAGCUCUGAAACUAUAC